GAUGGGUUUGGUGGCGCACACCUGUAAUCCCAGCAGCUUGGGAGGCUGAGACAGGAGGAUCAUGAGUUCAAAGCCAGCCUCAGCAAAAGUGAGUCACUAAGCAACUCAGUGAGACCCUGUCUCUA
rnacentral:sRNA from 1 species